GCCUAUUGCCACAACUUUCCCCACCCAGGAAGGAGAAGCCAACUCCAGGUGUUGCUGGACCUUUGAUUUCUUCAGAUCUCAUCUUCAUCUGCAUGGACCUUGGAAGUCAGGCGUCUCCGUUGAGUCCCAAUUCUGGAACCAUCAGCUCCCCAGUGUCCCCUGCAGCCAAACAUCCACACUACCUGCCAGGCCCAUAUAAUUCCUGCUGCUGACAACUCACUGAGACAUCUUUGUAAUUUAAGACGGAGAUAUUGUUGGAGAUGUGCAAUAGCAAGCAGUUCUGUUGCCUGAAAGGCCAAGCAGCAAUAUGGUGGAUAGAGGCAGUGUCCCUGG